rnacentral:lncRNA from 1 species
AGGGGGGAGAGGCCCCCUUUUUAUAGAUACAUGUAGUAAAUCAUGGCCAUCGGAUUAAAAACAAUUUGGACGCUCAGGAUUGCGCCACGUCAUCAGUCAACAGUCCACGGUUUGACCACGCGGAUGAACAGUAACACGGUUUGACCCGACUUUGAACAGUAACGCGGUUUGACCCGGAUGAACAGUAACGCGGUUUGGUUGAAAAUAAUCCUGUGUGAUGCAUGCACCGUACGCGAGAUUUUUCGUCCACUGAUAUGCUGCCACGUCACCAUCAACAGUACAUAAGAAUUUUAGUCCAACAGGAUCGUGACACCUCAUCAGUCAAUGCCACAUCAUCGGUCAAUGCC